rnacentral:rRNA from 1 species
GAAGCGGCAACAGCUCAAAUUUGAAAUCUGGCGCAAGCCCGAGUUGUAAUUUGUAGAGGAUGCUUCUAGGCAGCGGCCGGUCUAAGUUCUCUGGAACAGGACGUCACAGAGGGUGAGAACCCCGUAUGUGAUCGGCGCGCACCUUCUACGUAGCUCCUUCGACGAGUCGAGUUGUUUGGGAAUGCAGCUCUAAAUGGGAGGUAAAUUUCUUCUAAAGCUAAAUACCGGCCAGAGACCGAUAGCGCACAAGUAGAGUGAUCGAAAGAUGAAAAGCACUUUGGAAAGAGAGUGAAACAGCACGUGAAAUUGUUAAAAGGGAAGCGCUCGCAACCAGCCCUCGGGACGUCGUUCGGCCGGACUUCUGUCCGGUUUACUCUGCGUCUCGAGGCCAACAUCAUCUGGGGCCGUCGGAUAAGACCGUGGGAAUGUGGCUCCCCCUCAGGGGGAGUGUUAUAGCCCGCGGUGAUGCGACGCGCCCCGGGUGAGGUCCGCACUUCGGUAAGGAUGUUGGCUUAAUGGUUGCCAGCGGCCCGUCUUGAAACACGGACCAAGGAGUCUAACAUCUAUGCGAGUGUUCGGGUGUCAAACCCCUACGCGUAAUGAAAGUGAACGGAGGUGGGAGCUUCGGCGCACCAUCGACCGAUCCUGAUGUCCUCGGAUGGAUUUGAGUAAGAGCAUAGCUGUUGGGACCCGAAAGAUGGUGAACUAUGCCUGAAUAGGGUGAAGCCAGAGGAAACUCUGGUGGA